UUUUAUGGAGAGUUUGAUCCUGGCUCAGGAUGAACGCUGGCGGCGUGCCUAAUACAUGCAAGUCGAGCGAACUGACGAGGAGCUUGCUCCUUUGACGUUAGCGGCGGACGGGUGAGUAACACGUGGGUAACCUACCUAUAAGACUGGAAUAACUCCGGGAAACCGGGGCUAAUGCCGGAUAACAUGUUGAACCGCAUGGUUCAACAGUGAAAGACGGUUUUGCUGUCACUUAUAGAUGGACCCGCGCCGUAUUAGCUAGUUGGUAAGGUAACGGCUUACCAAGGCGACGAUACGUAGCCGACCUGAGAGGGUGAUCGGCCACACUGGAACUGAGACACGGUCCAGACUCCUACGGGAGGCAGCAGUAGGGAAUCUUCCGCAAUGGGCGAAAGCCUGACGGAGCAACGCCGCGUGAGUGAUGAAGGUCUUCGGAUCGUAAAGCUCUGUUGUUAGGGAAGAACAUAUGUGUAAGUAACUGUGCACAUCUUGACGGUACCUAACCAGAAAGCCACGGCUAACUACGUGCCAGCAGCCGCGGUAAUACGUAGGUGGCAAGCGUUAUCCGGAAUUAUUGGGCGUAAAGCGCGCGUAGGCGGUUUUUUAAGUCUGAUGUGAAAGCCCACGGCUCAACCGUGGAGGGUCAUUGGAAACUGGAAAACUUGAGUGCAGAAGAGGAAAGUGGAAUUCCAUGUGUAGCGGUGAAAUGCGCAGAGAUAUGGAGGAACACCAGUGGCGAAGGCGGCUUUCUGGUCUGUAACUGACGCUGAGGUGCGAAAGCGUGGGGAUCAAACAGGAUUAGAUACCCUGGUAGUCCACGCCGUAAACGAUGAGUGCUAAGUGUUAGGGGGUUUCCGCCCCUUAGUGCUGCAGCUAACGCAUUAAGCACUCCGCCUGGGGAGUACGGUCGCAAGACUGAAACUCAAAGGAAUUGACGGGGACCCGCACAAGCGGUGGAGCAUGUGGUUUAAUUCGAAGCAACGCGAAGAACCUUACCAAAUCUUGACAUCUUUUGACCGCUCUAGAGAUAGAGUUUUCCUCUUCGGAGGACAAAAUGACAGGUGGUGCAUGGUUGUCGUCAGCUCGUGUCGUGAGAUGUUGGGUUAAGUCCCGCAACGAGCGCAACCCUUAAGCUUAGUUGCCAUCAUUAAGUUGGGCACUCUAAGUUGACUGCCGGUGACAAACCGGAGGAAGGUGGGGAUGACGUCAAAUCAUCAUGCCCCUUAUGAUUUGGGCUACACACGUGCUACAAUGGACAAUACAAAGGGCAGCGAAACCGCGAGGUCAAGCAAAUCCCAUAAAGUUGUUCUCAGUUCGGAUUGUAGUCUGCAACUCGACUACAUGAAGCUGGAAUCGCUAGUAAUCGUAGAUCAGCAUGCUACGGUGAAUACGUUCCCGGGUCUUGUACACACCGCCCGUCACACCACGAGAGUUUGUAACACCCGAAGCCGGUGGAGUAACCAUUUUGGAGCUAGCCGUCGAAGGUGGGACAAAUGAUUGGGGUGAAGUCGUAACAAGGUAGCCGUAUCGGAAGGUGCGGCUGGAUCACCUCCUUUCUAA
rnacentral:rRNA from 1 species